rnacentral:rRNA from 1 species
CACGUAGGGACCAAGCGUUGUCCGGAUUCAUUGGGCGUAAAGAGCUCGUAGGCGGUUUGUCACGUCUGCUGUGAAAUCCCGAGGCUCAACCUCGGGCCUGCAGUGGGUACGGGCAGACUGGAGUGCGGUAGGGGAGAAUGGAAUUCCUGGUGUAGCGGUGGAAUGCGCAGAUAUCAGGAGGAACACCGAUGGCGAAGGCAGUUCUCUGGGCCGUAACUGACGCUGAGGAGCGAAAGCGUGGGGGAGCGAACAGG